GCAAGAUUUCGAUCUAAAAAGCUGCGCUCCCUUCGGUGAUGAGACUGGUUCGGCGACGGCUACGAUCGACGGUUUGAAGGGGAAGGGUUUCGUUCUUGAGGUAUGUUCGGAUUCCCUCUCCCCUCUCUCUCUCUCUCUCCCCAUUUUAUUCGCUUAGUUUCCCUGCCUGCGAGAAUAGUUACAAGAGGAAGUGAAGAGUUUGUAGGUCAAAUCCGAUAUAAAUCCAUGAGACCAGAAAAACUCAGCCCUUAAGGAAAUUUUUUUUAAUCAUAAAUUAGCAAAAAAUCUGUGAUUAAAAACUUUGUUUUUAUUUUUAAACUGCAAUUGAAAUCUACUAGAAUUUGAAAAUCUUUGUCAAAAACUAAACAAAAUUUUGCGUUAUGAGACGUUUAAACUUCUCACAAUAUUAAAGACUUGUAAGUGAAUGGUUAGGCACUGAAUGGUUCCAUUAUUUGUUUAAUCCAUGUUCUUGAAUUGGCUCCACAAGCUAUGGAAGAUAGUUAAAAAAUCACUUAAAAUGUAUAUAAGAAGUUUAUGUGUGUUAAUGUGCUUAAGUUUGCAUAAAUAAUAGUGCUAUAUAUGAGAUAACAUUACCUUGUUUUGGCAUGAAAGGCAGCUUUCUCCCUAACCACCAGAAUCAACUUGUUUGGUUAAUAAGAAAUCACAUGCUUUUCUGAUACGAUAACUGUUUUGGAAGGUCCUUCAACCAGACACCAACCCUUUUAUCCCAAACCAUGUCCCAUAAGUAUAACAACCUCCCAAUGAUCCAUACCUACAUGAGAACUUUAACCAUGCUAAGUGGCUUAUCCCAUGAAAUUUAAGCCUUUAUUUAUUUAUUUAUUUUUCAAUGGAUAGUGAGAAUAGUUAAUUUAAAGAAGAUGUGAAAAUCCAGUGCAGAAGUAGUAGUUUUAACUUUUAAUAAACAUCAAAAAGAAAGGUUGAAAAAAACUUGAUUACAAUUAGAAUCUCCAAUUCAGAUCACUACUAGUUACCAGGGACUUAAUCUUCAUACCAAUGAUUUGAAAAGUAGCCGACCUACCCAUGGAUCAAAAUUUCAUUUUAACUGUAUUCACUACAGUCUAGUUGGCAAACUUGGUCACUUGACACCACCUUUGAAGUGUGAAGUUUCUUGGUUUGUUGUAUAGUUUUACCAAAUUUAUGAAUAUGUUGAUUCAUGUGGUGCAACUUGACCAUCAGUGUGAGACAAUAUCUUAAAAGAAAGUAGCAAUCUUUUAUAAUAAUAAUAAUAAUAAUAAUAAUAAUAAUAAUAAUCCUUUUAAGAUAUGAGGCCAGAAGAUAGCCACAAAGUCCCCGUGUCGUUUUGGAUGAAGUGUAAUUGUGAACUCAGUUAAUUAUAUAUGUAAAAUGACUAUAAUAUCUUCAAACGUUAUAUCUUUUUAGUUAUUCUCUCUCUCUCUCCCCCCAUUUAAUUCGGUUAGUUUCUCUGCCUACAUAGCGAGAAUAGUUACAAGAGUAGACUGUUGUUGCCGUCUGUGUUGCUGUAAAUGAUAUCAAAAAAAAUAAAUAAAUGAAAUCAAAUUCCCAUCUUAUUUCACUAUCAAUCCCUCCCAAACUAGAAAGUUAAAUCCUUCCCUCCCCCUCCUUUAUUCUUCUUUUAUUCAAUAAAUAAAUAAUAAAUUCGCAAAAGGAUACAUUGUUUGGAAUGAAGUGCCAUUGUGUCUAAUAUAAAGUUUUGCAAAUUAUAAAGUUAUACAAAUAAUCAAUUUAUAUCAGAGAGAGAUAUCAUCAUGUCUAUUGCUAUUAUUAUUUUAAUUUACAUUUACAUGAUCAUUAUCGUUAGCAUCAUCCAGUAGUAACGGAAUAAGCCAUGAAUAAUAGCAGAGCUUUGCCAGUGUAGUUCUCCGGGUGCAUUGAUCCAGUAUUCUAUUUAGCUUGGGUAUCAAUGGCAUAUAAUGAUAUCUUACUUUAGUGAAUGGAGCAGAAAUUUGCUAAAACUGGCUGAAAAUUAUAUCCCUGUAUUUCUCUUAAUGUAAUUGUGAAUUCAGUGACAGCUAUUUACUGGACAGCAUUCAUAUACAGAUUACUUCAGCGUUUAUGUUAGAAUAGCAUUUCUUUAUCUCUUUGGCUUUUAAAUGUAUUUCUUUUUUACAUAACUUCAGUGUUUAUGUUAGAAUAGCAUUUCUUAACCAUAUUUCACAUCUAGUAACUAGUUCUUUGCAAAAUGCAGUGGUUUCCUUCACAAACCCACGCACACUCACUUCCUAAUUAUGGUUCACUCUUAGUAAUUUAUCAUGCUGGAUAACCUUAAUGCAAGAAUUCAAGUGACAAGUAGCUGGGUUUCAACUUUAGCAAAGAGUAUGUCCCCUAAGCUUUGAACUAGAGGCUACAUUGAAGUUGGCAAUAUUUCUGUAUAGGUAGACUUGUUAACCCAUUUUCUAUGGUGAUGACUGCAACACACUAUCUUGAAUGAAUUUAGCCUGUAGGAGUGGGAUGAUAUCUCGGAAUCUCUUUGAUGGAAAUGUGCAAUCCAUAGAUAAGUGUAAAUUAAUGGCACUAUUAUUUAUACAAUGUUGCCUGUAUCAUUUUAUUAUACAUUUUAUAAAGGUAUGAAGUAUACAUAUUUCAA